AAUUUAGAGGUCAGGUUCUCUGCUGUCUGGUACUGGUGAAUUAGGAAUGGCACUGCCAAGCCUACCAAGGGCAGCCAAUCUGACUGUUAACAAAGAGAACGGAUUUCUGAUUUUUAUGUUAGUUAGCCUUGUUGUUUCAGAAGACUAUAUUGGGAAAGAUUUUAACUGCCCUUGCAAAUCCAACUUCAGAAAAAAGAUUUUCUUUUCCUACUUGCUGGUACCUGCCUUAGUCGUUUUUGCGGUCAUGUAUUGUAUCAUGACUGAGCUGCAGACAUCCAAGAAGGGACCUCAACAGCAGGAAUGUAACGAAGAAACUCAAGGGCUGGAAUCUAAUAGGGGAGCUCAGAUAUCCGGAAGACCAAAUGAAUGUUCAUUUAAAAAGAUCUUGCCUGGAAAAUGGAGACAGCUCAUUUUUACCUUCUGGUGUUUUAUUCCAAGUUUUUUUUGGAUGAUCUUAUUUUUCUGUGAUGGCAGAUAUUGGGCUUGUUAUCUUACUACAUAUGAAGGAGAUGCUGACAGCACUGCGCUCCCUCCAUGGGAAUGGUGUAACAGAAACCGAACCAUGACUGCUGCCCAGAGGAUAGCAGAGAGAGCAUAUAAUGACUCUAAGUUUGGAGGUUUCGUCGCCCUCUUCGUCUCCACACUCGUAAUACUGUUAUUAUAUAUUAUAUAUAAAUACUGUCAAGAACGUGGAGUCUCCAGUGAACAGACAGCAGCAGAGCAGGGCACUACUGGGGCGCAGGAAAGCAGUGGACAGCGGACACCUACACAUACGAGGACACCGCAUGACAACUGUCAAGACACUGCCAGGACGCAGGAAAGGAGUGGACAGCAGACAUCUACAUGUGUAAAUACUGAAGCAGAAGGACUUCUCAUGGCGAAGCUUCCUGCGACGGAGGAAAACUGACAUCUACACGUGUAAAUUCAGACGCUGAGACGUCAGCUCUGCGGAGCUUUUCAGAAGAAAGCUGAGGAGAUCAUGCAAGAAGCAGCAGUUCAUCACAUUUUAUCAGGAUGGAUCCCGAAGGAAACGUAUCAGUCACACAACACAGGACAGUAAUACAACCCCAAUUCUAGUGAAGUCGGGACGUUGUGUAAAACAUAAAUAAAAACAGAAUACAAUGAUCUGCAAAUCCUUUUCAAAUUCUUGAUAUUAGGGACUGUAGAUGAUGAAAUCCCUAAAUUCCUUGCAGUUGCAUGUUGAGAAACGUUGUUCUUAAACUGUUGGACUAUUGGCUCACGCAGUUGUUCACAAAGUGGUGAACCUCACCCGUCCUUGCUUGUGAAUGACUGAGCCUUUCAGAGAUGCUCCCUUUAUACCCAAUCAUGACACUCACCUGUUUCCAAUUGUGGCGAUACUACCCCGAUCUAUAACCAACUACGCCACCCCUUAGUUUAUACCUAGAGUGAAGGGGAACUCUGCACCAAAUAGACACACAGAUUCUUUUAUUAGAGAAAAUAGAUUGCUUUAUUAAACGCUUGGUCACUCAAUGUUCAGCUGACAGUUAUAAAAUAAUAAAAAAAAG
ensembl:lncRNA